AGACGAUACAAUACACGUAGACAGAGGGAGUGAGUGGAGUUUCAAUUCUCUUUUUAUCUGUGCUUCGUCCCCUCGCACAAGCGAAUGGUUUAAGACGGAAUGUCCUCUGGGGCCUUGCCAGAGGCGAAGGAUGCGCUACGACAACGAAGCGUCGAACGAAAAUUGAAAUGAAGUUUGUUCUUUGUAAUUUUAUAUUCUUUGCCAAAACCUUAACAACAUGCCAUAAAGGAAAAUAUAGGGAAAGGCAAUAAUGUUUCCAGCUGUUCCGACCUCAUUAAGAUUAAUGUACAUAUACCUAUGUACACUGUACAUGCAUAUAAAGUCCUGAUCAUACGAAACAAUUAAUCUAAAAUUAUAUCGAAAGAUUCAGUCGUCAUGCAAAGGACCACCCUAAUGUCGGUCAACACUGCUUCUGUCAAAGGUAUCUAUUAGCGGAUUUCUGACAAAAUUUGAAGAAGCUGCACAAUUUGGUUUGGUUUGGUUUGUGCUUUACAGCCAUUGAUAGCAGGCAAAAUGGAAACAAGUGUGCUCGUGCGGAAAAACCACCACUGAAAUCACGGCUAAGCUUGAUCAAUACUAUGGUAUGGGAAGUCCGCUUCCAAAGCACAAACGAUGCCAACCAUCCUGGACGGCCCAGCUAAGGUUGCUACCCGAAACAAUUGAAAAAAAAUUCACGAUAUGGUGUUGGUCGAUCGGAGAUUGAAUUCCUCCUUCACCCGCCCUAACCUGAUGAAAUGACCCGGCGAAAAGAGAUUUAAUUCCAACGAGAUUCGUGAAGGAUACAAAAAUUGGAGAAACGUUGGCGUUGAAACGUAUGGCUAAAAGAAGACUGUGAUUAAAAAAUUAUGGUUUAUCCAAUAACCUGUUUCGUUAAAAAAUCCACGGACUUAUUGAACAUCCCUCGUACAUAUAUGACAAAAUUCAUACAUACAUAUGUCUGUUCUGUGCAUAAACGAUUCACAUGAAUCUCACUCUCAGCUCUUGAUCACUCUAUUGUAUUCAAUUAAACCAUUUAUAAACAUAUUAAAUUUUUGUGCUCUUGAACU